UACGGAGGGUGCAAGCGUUAUCCGGAUUCACUGGGUUUAAAGGGUGCGUAGGCGGGCAGGUAAGUCAGGGGUGAAAUCUUCGAGCUUAACUCGGAAACUGCCUUUGAUACUAUCUGUCUUGAAUAUGGUGGAGGUAAGCGGAAUAUGUCAUGUAGCGGUGAAAUGCUUAGAUAUGACAUAGAACACCUAUUGCGAAGGCAGCUUACUACGCCUAUAUUGACGCUGAGGCACGAAAGCGUGGGGAUCAAACAGG
rnacentral:rRNA from 1 species